CGCGGGUCACCCUAAACGGCGCCGUUUUGGCACGGGUGACCCUGGUGCAAAACGGCACCGUUUCAAACAAGUAUAAAAACCAAUUUUUUCUUAAAAAUUCAUUCUGUUAUUCAUUUAAAAAAAAAAAUUUAAAACCUACCCCCCAUUUUCUUCUCCUCUGCUAGGGUUUCUUAACCCAUCAUCGCCGUCGCCGGACCGCCACCGUAUACUGCGGCCGGAGUUCCUAAAAGGAACCCUUUUCAGUCAAUCCGAACUCCCCAAACUCGAUUUAAGGGUAAUGUGCCCAUCUAUCCACCAAAAACUCGAAAAUAAAAGCAAAGAAGAGGAGAAAAUAAAAGGGACUCUUCGGCUCCCUAAUAAUGCCGAUGGGAUUUUUAGUCGAAUCCCCUGACUCGGUGUUCUCCGAGGCCGGAGAAGGCUCCGAGCACGACGCAAAAAGGUAACGGGUUUCUCCCCUAUUAUUUAUUUACUAUUGUUAUUUCGAACUAAAAAAUGGAAAUAAAUAAAAAUGAAAUAGAAAUAAAAAAGCACCUUAAUAUUCUUUGAAUCAGUUUUUGUAUUUUUAUCUUUUUUUUUUUUAUUUCUCUCCCUUUACAAACUGAUUUUGUUUCGGUUUUAUAACCGAUUACAAUAGAAAAGAAAUCACUCCCCUUUCUCUGUUGUUUCUGCUUCUUUGGUAUUCUUUUUGCCUUCUUUUGCAGGUCUCUGUAGGUGCAGGCGAUGGGACGGGUCAAAGGGUGGCUGAGCCUCGAGCGUCGGAUGUGCUGACCAGGCACGUGAGGAGCGGCGCACACUGCUACUAGGGUUUUUCUGUUUCUGCUAUUUUUUCCUUUUUUUGGGUCAUGGGCUUGUAAAAUUUUGGGCCAUAGUUUGGGCUUUAGGUUCUUGGUUUGAUUUGGUUUGGUUUUGUAUUUGAUUUGGGCUUGUUGGGUCCGGGCUGGGCAAAUUUGGGCAUUUACAAACUCAAUAGGUUUGCUUUUGUACCAGCUUUCCUUGCAUAGAAAUAUAACUAGUAGGGAAGGGGGAUUAACUUAGCUAGAUACUGGAAGGGUUUAGUCAAUGCUAUUGUGUUCUGGGUUAGUAAUUACAUAGAUUGAACGAUUGAAUGAAGUUAGUGUUCCAAGAUCUUUAAAAGUUAAUUGAAAAGCUUAGUAAUUUUUAUCGUUUUUGUUUAAUAAAAUUUCUUUUAAGUAUUUUAAUUUAAUUUUAGUAGUGAAUAAUUUUUUUUUUCUUGAUCUGGAUUAGAUAAAAUUGGAUAGUUGAUAUUUAGCAGCAUAAAAUUUGAUCCUUAUAGGAAUGAUAUCUUCUUACAACUUUAUUACUUGAUUGGACCCGUGCACUUAAAUAACAAAUUUUCACACAUCUUUUUUGAUGCUGUUGCCAGAUACCAAAAUUUUAAAUUAUAUUCCGCUAAUAUUAAUUUUAUUCAUUAGUAAUCAAAGAUUAGGUAUUUUUAUUUUAUUUUAUUUGAAUUUAUUUUUGUUUUAUUUUAUAUUGUUUUUGUUUUUCAAGUACUCUAGAAUGGAACAAAUUGAAAGUACCUAUCGCCAGAAUGGAAGAGCAACCAAACAAGUUAAAAUACAACCAAUCAAGAUGGAUCCUGUGAAUCCUGAGAACUCACCUAGGGUUGGUGAUCAACCAUUGAUGAUUUGAACUCCUCAGCAACAGAGUAGGUGUAUUGAUUAUAGCAUGCCUUUGCAUGAAGGAUAUCAUUUGAGUAUCGUCAGGCCUACUAUUGAGGUGAAGAAUUUUAAGAUCGAUGCUGGGGCUAUGCAGUGAACAAGAUCUUCGUAUUACUAAGUAAAGACCCCAAUUCUGAUUUAAGAACUUUUUUAAAAAUCGGUGAUAUUGUGAAGUAUAAUGGAUUUUCUUAGAGAUUUACUAUUGAGAACUAUAUCUUCUUAUCAUUUUAUUACUUAAUUCAACACGUGCACUUACAUAAUAAAUUUUCACACAUCAGCCAUAGAUAGUGUUCUGAUUUUCUCUUGGUUCUUAUAACCUUCUUGCAAGAUUACAGGAUAAAUUGCAAUCACUGUAUGUUAGGAACAAACGAGGCGUGCUUGGAACUUGAAUAAAGAUGGAGAUAUGCACUUCAAGCUCUUCAACAAAGAACAAAGACUACCAUAUUUACUUGACAUAUAAUACAAGAAUCAAGCUCUUGGUCAACGGAUGCUACCUCUUCCAUAUUAAUAUUUGGUCAACAGUUAGCAUUAUGCAUAGAAGCAGAACCCUCUAGAGUUGCCCAGAAUUUAUUUUUUACACUUGUUUUAGAUCCCAGUUCUUCCCCCCUAUACUGAAUAUGUGGAGUACAACACAGGUAAAGCAUUAUUUGCUAACUUCACUAGAAAAACAAUGCAUUCCCUUUCGCCAAUGUAAAAGAAAGAAAAUGAACAAAUGGUCAUUCAAAUCGCAGCUUCCGGGACAAGGGAUGGAUCACUUAGCUAGUACAUUGUCCACUAAUUUAGCCUUAACCUAAAAAGGAUUGUCAAAAGGAAGUAGAAACUAAUUUUCCACUAAUGAAUUAGAGAGUCGAAAAGAUUAAAUUGAGUUGAAAUAAGCAUUCCAUAGAAUGAAUCAUCAACAUGUUCUGAGCUUAAGUUUUUAGUUGGAAUUUUUUCUUCUUCAUAGAUAUCCACAUUCAUGGGUAAAUUUUCAAUACUUAUGGCCAUGUAUAACUAUAUUUACGUUUGUUGAUAUAUAAAAACUCUAAUUAUUGACUAAAUUUAAAUAAAAUAAAUUACAAGAGAUUAUCCUCUCAAGCUCCUCCUAUGAUUAAAACUAAAAAAAACUAAGAAAAAAAUUGUGAUUUAUAGUGCUGGAUUCAUGAUUGAAUGAUCAACCAAAUGAUUAUUAAAUUGUCUAUACUUUCUAAUAACAUCUCUAAUAAACAAUGUUGGAAAGCUUUUAGGUAUAGUUAACAUGACAUAGAAUAUAGAGCUCUUUAAAUUAUGAUUUGUUCUGGUUGCUUGAUGUGAUUGAGAGUAUAGAAACAUUGUACCAUGCGCAUUUGGAGUUUGAUGGGUUAAAAUCAUGCUAUGCGGGCAACAAAGCAUAGUUAACGGUAGAAACAAAUCAUACUCUCUUGAUUUAUCUAAUUGAUUUUUCUCAUUAGAUUAAUGGGGAGAAAAAGAUUAAUUGAAAUUGUUAUAACAGUUAAAUACAAUUAGAAGCAUAGAUAAGCUAAAAGAAAAUGUAAUUUUGUAAUAGGUCAAUGUGUCAUCUUUUAGUGGUUUGAUAUUAAUAAAAAGGCACAGUGACUUUUUUUUUAUUAUUAGGCAUCCAGUUUGAGUAAAAGGUGCUACAAUUAGAUAUUUCACUAAAUAAAAUCACUCAUGGCCCACUUAACUAAACCAUUGCAUGUAUGACUCGUAGGCUUGAAAAUUACUAUCUUGAAUAAUUUCCUUACAUAUGCUCAACUCAGUUCACCAACUCCAGAUUUAGACCUAUUCUGCAUAUUGAUUCUAUCCUCUCAGAUUUAUCAUUCAAAAUCACUCGAUGUUUUGGGAAUCCAUAAAAAAAUUCUUUAAGAAACAUUAACUGAUGUUUCACUCGAUCAAAGUGUUGCAACUCCAUAAUGUGAAAAUAGAUAAGGGGCACCCAUUCCUUGACCAAUAUAUACAACUCAAAAACAAGCUAGUGUUAUGGCAAAAACGGUGUUGUUCAAGUACAAUAUCCAUCGAAACUGCAAAGAAACACUACAGCAAAACAGGCUUUUAGCGGCGUUUGAACAAAAAACGCCGCUAAAGUUCGAGCAUUAGCGGCGCUUUUAAAACAACGCCGCUAUAGGUUGAGCAUUAGUGGCGUUUAUUGUAAAACGCAGCAAAAAAAAUUAGCAAGACGUCAUCGUUUUCAUGUUGAGCAUUAGUGGCAUAAACGCCGUUAUAGAUCGAGCAUUAGCGGCGUUUUUCAGAAAAUACCGCUAAAGAUCAGCAUUAGCGGCGCUUUUAUAGAAAAUGCCGCUAUAGGUUGAGCAUUAGCGGUGUUUCUCCCAAAACACCGCAAAAAAAAUUAGCAAGACGUUGUCGUUUUCAUGUUGAGCAUUAGUGGCAUUAGCGGCGUUUUUUGAAAAAUGCUGCUAUCGGUUCAGCAUUAGUGGCGUUUCUCGUAAAACGCUGCAAAAGAAUCAGCAAGACAUCGUCGUUUUCAUGUUAAGGAUAUGUGGCAUUAGUGGCGUUUUUCCAAAAACGCCGCUAUAAAUCGAGCAUUAGAAAAACGCUGCAAAAAUUAUUUUAUCUAUCUAUUUCUUAUUUAAAUGAUUUAUUUAUAUUGAUUGAAAUACAAUUUAUUUUAAAUUGAAUAUUUAAAUUCUUCAGAAAAAAAUAAUGACAUGUAGAAAAAAUUUGAAAAUAAAAACAUAUAAAAAUAUAUGUUAAAAAUGAAAAAAAUUAAAAUACUAUUAUUUAAAAUAAUUUUAAAGCUUUUUGGGUAUAUGAUUGAUUGUUUGUGAAAAUAUAUAUUAAAUAAAUUCUUAUAUAAUUGUAAAAGAGAUAAUACUAAUUUUAAAAUAUUAAAUUAAUUAUCAUUAUAGUUCAGGGUUUAUAGUUUAUGAGUUAAUAUUUUAAGGUUUAGGGAUUUUGUGUUUAAAGAUUAUGGGUUUAAGGAUUGUGGCUUAAAGUUUAAGGAUUAGUGGGUAGAGGUUAAUGGUUAAGGGUUAUGGGUUUAAGGGUUAAGGGGAUAGGGGUUAAGGGGACAUGGGUUAGGGGUUUAUGGUUUAUGAGUUAAUAUUUUAAAGUUUAUGAAUUAUGGGUUUAGGGAUUAUGAUUUAUGGUUUAAGGGUUGAGGUUUAAAAUUUAAGGGUUAGUGGUUAAGGUUUAAGGUUUUAUGGUUUAAGGGUUAAGGGGAUAUGUGAUUAGGGUUACGGGUUUAGGGUUUAAAGGGACAUGGGUUAGGGUUUUAAGGUAAAUUAGUAUAAAAAUUUGAAAGGGUCUCGGCCCCUCUAAAAUGAAAAAUUUUUCGUUUAGGCUUUUUGAAAUUUUUAAAAAUUUUAAAGGUAAAAUUACAUUUUAUCCCUCUGAAAAUGGAAAAUUUUUGAUUUAAUCGUUCCAAUAUUAUAAAAAUAUAUGCUAUCAAAAUGAUGAGAUUGCAUUUUUACUUACAAUUUAGGGUUUAAUGUUUAGUAUUUUAAGUUUAUGGUUUAAGGUUUGUUGUUUUGGGCUUGGGGUUUGUUAUUUUGGGUUUAAGGUUUAGAGUAUAUAAUUUUAGGCUUUAGAUUUUAGGGUUUAAUGUCUAGUAUUCAAGUUUUAGGGGUUAAGAUUUGUUAUUUUGGGAUAUUGUUUGAAACAAAACAAACUAAUUAAUUUAAAUGAAUUUAUGAAAUAAUUAAACCUUUCAAAUAUAGAAACGAAGAAGAAAAUUGGAUUGAAUCUAACUAAAAAUUAAAUAUUUAGUACAUGUGUACUUCAAUUUGUCAAUUUUGUUGAAUUUUAUAAAUUUUGUUGAAUUUUUAAAAAUUAAUAGUAGGAAAGGCAUUAGCGGCUUUUUGGUUAUAAACGCCGCAAAAGGUAAACAAUAGCUGCGCUUUUGACAAAAUGCCUCAAAAAUUAAGCUUACUUAAAUGAAAACGGCACCGUUUUGUUGUGAGGACUUUAUUGCCAUUAGCGGCGCUAUGGUAAAAACGCCACAAAAAGUCGGACAUCAGCGGCAUUUUAGAUAAAAACGCCACAAAAAUAAAUUUACUUAAAAUUAAACGAUUCCGUUUUGUGGUGUGCCUUUAGCGGCGCUACAUUAAAAACGCCGCAAUAGUUGAUAUUUAGCGGCGCUAAGAAGAAACGCCACAAAUAAUCAUUUUAUUUUAUGUGAAACGGCCUCGUUUUUCUGUCAUCACUUUCCUUUCAUCCCAUGCCUAUACCCGAAAUCCCCAAAAUUUCCACCUACAACUUAAACCCCCCAAAUUAGUCCGAUUUGUUUUUUACCGAGACUUAUAUCCUACCCUAAAUCCCUUUCUCAUUUUCCCCAUUUUAUUUUCAGCAAAUCCCCUUCCCCAAAAUCCCUAACAUUUUCCCCAAGUAAUUUUUCUUCAAAUAAUUUUUCCCCAAAUCAGUUCCCCCAUCCCUCAAAUAUUGUUUCCCCAAAUCAGUUCCCGAAAUCGCCGUCGGCUGCCCUCUGCAUAGCCCCUCUGCUGCAUCUCCGUCGCCAGCCGUCUGCAUCUUGUUGGAGUGCGGUGAGUCUUUUUUUUUUAACAGAAAUUAACAACAUGAUACUUGUUGAUUCUAUAGCUUCGUGAUGAAUUUGUUGAAAAUUUUAAAACAUUUUUUAAUCUGUCCCGGCAUAUACACGUUAUAAAAGAAAGACUACCUUCACUUUUUGGCUUUAUCGUUUGUGGCUUUUUUGGAUUUUGAAUGAUUCGGUUUGCUGGUGAGCUUAGAUUCAGUAGUCUCAUGCCUUUCUUUGUUGUGAUUUUCUUUUAGGUUUUCUUCCCCUUUUUUUUAUCUGAUGAUUCUCUGUUUGUAUCUUUAAUUUUUUUCUCAAUAUGUUUGCAUGUAUUUGUGUUGAAUGUAGCUCUUCUUGUGCGACCAUCUCUUGCUCUUAUUGUUUAUUGUGUUUGUGUGCUCAUCCUUUUAUUGGUGUAAAAUGAAAUCAAACCUUCAAAAACAUAGAUUUUUCUUUCCAUUAAGUCAUUAUAUUUCCACGUGUUCUAAUUACUUUUAUUUUUCCCUUGUAGAUCACAAUGUUCUUGGAUCUAGGGAUUAAACUGCCUUUUUUUUCUUUUCAUUUCUGCCAUCUUUUAUUAAUUUUUAGAUUUUUGGUAUUUUUUCUAGUAGGGUAUGAUUUAUUCUUUAUAUUCAGUAGCAAAUUAGAUUUUUCCACUGUGAUGGCCUGAAAGGUGACUCUCUUAAAUGUGAUAGCAGAAAAAGUAUUCAUGAAAUAACUAAUUUAGUUGUUGUCUUACUUUUUAUGAUGUUAGUUUUCCAAAUUAAUUUAGUAACCAUGUUCUAUCUUUUGCCUAAUUAAGUUAUGCUCUUUGCAUUUGGUCAUUCAAUUUUGGCCUAUAAAGAAGAUUUGAAGGACGUGGGCGAGUGUUAAUAUUUUUAUAUCAGCCUUUGAUUCAAUUUUAAUAUUAACCAUUGAUUAAUUUUGGAUUGGGUUGGGAUCAAUUUCAGGAUGAUUAUAUAUAUAUUUAUAUAAAGGGUUUGAUUGUGAUUAGUGUUACGAGUUAAAUGAUACAAACUCAAACAGGGAUUUUUAUCUUGAUCAAGUUUCUAUAUAAAACAUAAUUAUAUUAUUUAAAUUUUAAAUAUAUUAUAAUUUUGUAAAAAGCUUAAUUUUCCCGCUUCUACACAUAUUAUUCCUGCUUAAAAAAUUCUUUCAAUUGAAAUUGCUUAAUUUUCUCUCUUCCACGACCAAAUUAUUUUUGGUUUAAACAAGUAUUCAUUUUCUCAAUUAAAAUGGUUAUAUAUUAGUGAAAAUUGUGAUUUUUGUUCGUAGAUUUGCCUUCGUUGUUCUUUAAUUGGCUGGAAAUCAUAUUUGAUUAAGAAUGAGAAUGACCAAAUUACUGAAAUGUUGCGUUUAUAACUAACAGUUGCAUUUUUUUAUAUGCAUAAGUUGAACUGGAAAUUUGAGUUCUUUAGUAAUUUGCUUUUUGCUUUGAGGAAUCAGAAAGCAAGUAGUCAAAGUAAUAUCUUGAGACAAACAGUAGCAGAUGCACAAACGUAGCCAGAACAGUAGAAAAAAAAAAAAUAUUGAAAUUCGGCUAUAAAAAAAGCCUGAAAACUGAUUGUAAAGGACUUUUUUUUUUUGAAAACAGAAAGAAAUAUAGACGAAGCAAUCAAAAAAUAUAACACAAAAUUUCAAAAAGGUGAUUCUUCUUUUAUUUAUUUUCUUUUUUAAUUUUUUUUAUAACAGAUUUGUCAACUGCAUCAAACUGGGUGGGAAAGGUGUGGGAAAUGAUAUAGAUGUAGAUGACAGCACUUCAAUAGAGGAAGUCUCAAGAAAUUUGGUCGCUGUACUAAAAGAUUAUCUUCAGGUCAGCUUCUUCUUCUUCAUUUGGAUAGUUAUAUGCUGAAUAACUAAUCAUGUUUCUAAUAAUUGUAAUUAGUUGGGAUUGUUGGAUUGGGCAGGAUCGGAUCAGCAAUAGCAAAAAGAGCCGAAGCUUUCAACUGCUCUAUCAGUUAUCACUCGAGAUCUAAGAAACCAAAUACAAACUACAAAUACUACUCAAAUACCCAGAAAGCCUAGAUAACUAGAAGGUUAGCUAAUCUUUUAUUUUUAUUUUCGUUUUUUUAAAUUACUAUUCUUGUUUAUCCUAAGAUUAUUUUUUAAUGGAUCAUUAAUGGAUCAUGUUUUUAACUUAUUUCAAGUCUGUCCUUAGAUUAUUUUUUUAAUUUGCUUAUGCUGUUUAUCCUUAGAGACUUGUUAUGCUGUUUUUAAUUUUUUUUAAUUUGCUUAUUCUGCUUAUCCUUGGGAUCUCUUUGCUACUGGUUCCAAUGCGUAUGUUCUUACUUACAUUAUUUGCAACCUUUUAAUAAUAUUAUUCCUCUCGACAUGUAUGCUUGCCACGUGAAUUUUUUCUACCAUAUUUUUGUAAUUUGUGAUUUAAUAUUUCUAUAUUUGUAUCACGAUUUUUAAUAAAUAAAUUAAUUAAUAUAAUAUGUCCCAUCUACUAUACAAAUCUUUAAUAAAAUAUUUUAUAUAGUUUUAAAGUUAAAUUUAAAUUAUUAUUGAAAUAUUCUCGUCCGUUUUAUCAAAAAUAUUAUUUUCCGUUUUAUCACAAAUAUUAUCGUCCGUUUUAUCAUUUAAGUUAAACUUUUUAUUUGAAAUAAAUAAGCUUUUAAGCUAAAUACGGAUGUCCACACAGUGCUUUAACAUGUACUUGAGAAAAGAUGACUUGUAAAACAUAAAUUAAAUUAAGUGUGGACUAUUGUACAUUUAUAUUUUAACUGCACCUGUGAUUUGUCAAAUAAAAACGAACGAUAUGUAUAUUAUUUAAUUAAAAUAAUUUUUAUAAAUAUUAUUUAAUUAAAUAUUUUUAAUCCUGCAACUUACCUAAAUUAGUUUACACCCAUUGGAUACUUGAUACUUGAUAUGUAUUAUCCAUGUGAUUUUUCACACUGUCAAAUUUUAUUUUUAUAAAUAAAAAACUUACAUAAUACAUAAAUAUAUUUGAUAUUAUAAUUUACAUAACUUACAAAACUUACAUAACUUAUAUAACUUAGAUAAAUAUAUAACUUAUAUAACUUAUCAUAAUAUCCCUAGUACUAGUACACAACAUCAAUGAGUUCAACAUGAUGUGAAUGAAGAUAUUUACGAAUAAUGAUAUAGUAAGAUUUUACGAUUUUUUAAUUAUAUGUAAUAUUAUAAUUUUAAUCUUGGUCAUGUUAUAUAAUUUAACUAUUUUAUAUGUACUAUUAUUGUUGUAAUUUGUUAUUAAAACUUCAACUAUUUUAUAUGUAUUGCAGGAAAAAUGCGUAGAAGAAGAUUACGAGAUUUAAGUAUUGUCCAGAAUACUCCAAAUUCGGAAGAAGCAAAUAGUGAACAGCAGACAGUUGUUGGGUCUUCGAAUGUGCCGGAGACACUUGACGAGCCUGGAGAAUUUCAAAGUAAUGUUAAGUUCAUUUUACAUGUGUUGACUUUUAUUAUUGAUUUGUCAAUUUUAAUAUAAUAAUAAUUUAUCGUUUUUUAGCUGAAAGUGGUGGGAUGCGCAAAGAUCGAGGACGUACGUUGCUUAAAGAUUUAUACGACUUAAAUCCUGUCGAGCGUGUCAAAUUAAGUAGAAACAGUCAUGGUCAACCUGUUGGAUCUAAAGCUCGACUUUUAGCAGUCUAUUUAGGCAUUUUAGCACGAAAUGCCAAUAUGUUGCCCAUCAACUACGAAUCAUGGCAUCACAUGCCUGAUAGCAACAAAAAUCAGGCUCUUGAUAAUAUUAAGGGAACAAAACGUGAAUGUAAUUUAUAAUACUUUGGCUUAAGUUUCAUUUAUAUUUACAUUCUAAACUUGUGUUUUUUUAGGAGAGAUUUGCUUUAGAGGUCUCUGAUGACUAUAUCAAGAAGGCAUUGGGUGAAAAAUGGAGAGACCAUAAAAGCAUUUUGAAAAAAUAAUAUUUUAAGAAAGACAUAAGCCUUGAGGAAAAAUUGCAAAAUGCCCUUCCGGGAAUGCUGAGGUACCAAUGAGAAGAUGCGGUUAGAUUCUGGAAUUCAAAGAAAGGAUAGGUAUUACGUUAUUUUAAACUCUUAUAUAUAGUGUUUACUAUAUACGUAAUAAUAAUUUCAUUAUGUAGGACCGUGAGCGAGUUGGAACAAGCAGACAAAAACAAAAAUUCACACACACGGCAAGGUCAAGAAGUUUUACUUCUGUAGUUGAGGCUGAGGUAUUAUGAAUUUAUUAAUUCUGUCAAAUAUUAAUGAUUUUUUACUAUUAAAUAAUAUUUUUACUACUAUAUUUUAGGAAGUCUCGUCUAGUCAAAAAAUUGGACGUCUUCAGUUUUUUGAGAUACGCAUAGGAAGAAAGAUGAGUCUCCUAUGACAUCCGAAGUUGGAGAAAUUAUGAUAUAUUUACUUAAUAAAAUUUGAUUUAUUAUAAAUAUUUAUAAUAUUUAAUUAUAAUGGUUUAAUUCGUCAUUAGUAGUUUUAAAUAAUGUAAAAUUAUGUUGCAUUCCUUUUUAUUAUAUAUUUCGUUUCUAACUCUUUGAUUGAUUUAUUAGGAGAAACUAAAGGAGAAGAAGGCGGAGUAUGAAGCGAUUGCUUCGACUGAUAGUUCUGUUAAUCUUGAGAACAUUGAUAACAGAAUUAUCACUGAAGUUUUGGGUUCUGAAAGGUAUGAUCGGGUUCGAUUUUAAGGAUCUGGUGUUAUCCCAACUUAAUAUUUUGGAUCUGGCUCCCAGCAAUACAUGCCUUCCGGGAGUCAAGCUCAAGCUGAAAUUCAGAGGUUAAGAGACCAAAUAGCUUAGAUGCAAGCGAACACGGUUAAGCAAAUUGCUGAGGUUCAAAAAAAAUAUGAAGAAUUCCAGCAACAACUUAGAGCGGAGGUAGCAGAGAGGGAGGCAGCGGCAGCAAUGAGGGAGGCAGCGGCAGCAGCGAGGGAGGCAGAGCAAAGCAGAAAGUACGAUGAGCUCCAGCUACAGCUUCAGCAUAUGAUGCAGAUGUUUCAGCAGUCACAAAAGUUGUCAUCUUAGAUAUUAGUUUUCUCGUUGUAAGAAUGUUUUUAACAUUUUCACAUUUAACAUUAUUUUAAGAAUAUUUUGAGUUUUACUUUAUUCAUUAAUUACAUCAUAUAUCUUUCGUUAAAUCUAAAGUAUCAUUUAGAUUUAAUAUUUUUGGUUAUACUUUUUGUGCUAAAUUUGCUGUUUUUUGUUGCAUUUCAUGCUAUAUUUGUUAUUUUUGGUUGGAUUUAAUGUAGGAAAGGUUGGAUAUUGGUGAAAAAUGUGCAUUGUAAAUCUGUCAAAAUUAGCGGCAUUUUUCUCGUAAAACGCUGUUAAAAGCAUGCUUUUCUUGCAAACGCCGCUAAAAGUCAUGACUUUUAGCGGCGCUUUUCCCACAAAUACCGCUAAAAGUCAUGAUUUUUAGUAGUGUUUUUUUGGAUAAACGUCGCAAAUUUUUGCGGCGUUUCCUAUAGCGGCGUUUUUUUGAGGGGUUUAAAGGUUAAAAAAAGUGCCGCUAAAAGUUUAUUUUCUUGUAGUGAAAGAUACAAAUAUUUUUAUAUUCACAAAAAGGAAUAUUGAAUUCCACCGAAUUUAGUCGCAAUAUCGACAUACCUAUUCAUUUGCUCAUUGAUGGCUUUCUUGAUGCAUCCAUGUCAAGUCCUUGUAGCAUGGAUACUCCAAGCAACCUCUAAUUUCAUUCCAUUAAUCAAUGCAACAAGAUAAAUUAAAUGCGGCUACUAAAAUACACUUUAAGAUAUUAUACAAUAUGAUAUUUAUAUCUUAUAAUAAGAGGUAACCCUCAUAAUUGUGAAAGGAUGUGUGUUGACCAUGACAUGCAUAUCCAUGCCCAUGUUUGCAAGAGAAAGCAAAAACCAUUUAGCUCAUUGGUCAAUUGAUUCAUUGCCCUAUAAAGCACCUGAUAAAAAUACACCAAAGUGGUAGAACCCCAACUAAAUUUAUCCACUGUCUCAAAAUCCUCAAAUAUCGGAAGAAACAUGGUAUGGACCUUAUUGUAAAACGACUUUGGCAACAACAUUCCUCCCCCCAUCCAAAGAAUCCAAGCUUUGGCAUAUCAAUCAUCUCCUCCACAGUUGCAUGCAAUGGGUGUACUUCAACUAGCACCUAUUUAAAUGUUUCUCUAGCUUCUCUCUUAAUGGAACGACACCUAUCAAUCGACUACACUAGUUCAUUAGAUUGAUUGCACUAAUUGUGAUUACUAACUCAUUGUCUAUUGAAAGGUCGACUAUUAAAGUGACAUUUUUAAGCGUGAUGGUCAUUUUCCCACACGAACAAUGAGAUGUAAAUGUUUACAACUAGACUUGUUCAUGGGUCGUGUAACACCCUUAACCUGUAUCCGUCGUCAGAACAGAAUUUUGGAGCAUUACUCGAAUUUACAUGUCAUUUAACAAAAAUUUCUGUUAAAUAUUUACCGAUUCAAUGCAUCAUAUACAUAAAUAUAUUAUCAUUCAAUUUAUUAAUUUAGACAAUAAAUCAAUUCAUUUCCUUCAAUUUGGUCAUUUUUUAGACAAUAAAUCAAUUCAUUUCCUUCAAUUUGGUCAUUUUUGAUAUCCUUACAAAAUUGCCCCUAAAAUUUUACUUUUAUUCAAUUUAGUCCCUGAGCCUAAAACAUACAAAUUAGCCAUGCUAGCUAAAUAUUCAUACAUAUUCUCCUCCUCCUCCUCUCCAUUCCUCAUCCUUAAUUUAUAUAACAUGCUACAAGUAACAUUACCAAUACUUUCACUAUUCACUUAUAUGUAUAUUCAAAACUAUCUAUUUGCAUCAUAGUCACUAAAUUACUUAUAUCUUUAGAUACAGACCUUGAAAUUAAGAUCCGCUAAUUUUAUCUGAAACUAGACUUACAUAUCUUCUUACCAUAAAAUUUUCAAAUUUUUUGGCUCAGCCAAUAAGUACAGUUUAUUCUUUAAAGUCACUUCUGUUCUGCUAUCUGACAGUUCUGACCCUUCUUUACUAAAAAUUAAUUAUCUCCUCGUACAAGAUUCAAAUGAUGUUCCUGUUUGUUUCUAUUGAAAAUAGACUUGUUCAGAAUUCUAAACAUAUAAAUUUAAGCCCAUAAUUAUUUUUCUCAAAUUUUUUUAUGAUUUUUCAAAGUCAGAACAGAGGAACCCAAAAUCAUUCUGACCUUGUCUCACAUAAUUUAUCAUAUUUCAUGAUUUAUAAUUCCAUUACUUACACCAUUUCUUCUCUAAGAAACUAGACUCAAUAAGCUUUAAUUUCAUAUUUUAUUUAACCUCUCAUUAAACUUCCACAAUUUUUGGUUAUUUUUCAAAGUUAGCCUACUGCUGCUGUCCAAAACGGUUUUAGUGAAAAAGGUUGUUUAACAAGUUUAUAAUACCCUUAUUCCCUUUCUCUACAAUAUUUCCCAUCACUUUCUUCUAUUUCGCUUCACUAACUCAUCAAGAUCAUAGAACCUUAUAUAAGAAGACUCUACUAUAACAUUAUUUCCAUGCUUUCUCAAUAAUAACAAAUUUAAAAAUAUAUUGAAAUAUUGAUGUACUUAUUUUAUUCUAUUGAUUCCAAUCUUUAAUUUGAUUAUUCUCUCUCCUUCAGCUUCUAUUCCUUGAAUCUAAUUUGAUAUUCUAACUCCCCAUAGUCUCCUUAACAUUUUUCUCCCUUGGUAGCUAUGAAAAUUCUUUUGAUUUCUAGGUGAAAAUUGUGAAUUUUUGGUAGAAGGACUAAAUUGUAAAGAAUGAAAAGUUUCUUUCUUCUCUUCUUUUCUUCCUAACGUGAAUGCAUGGAAAAUGGAUGAGAAUUUCCUCAUCUUUAUUUCUUUAUAUAUACUAAUAAAAUAAUAAUGAAAUAAUAAAAUAUAAUAUAAAAAUCAAAUUAAAAUAUUAAUAACGAAUAAUUAAUUAAUUAAUUAAUCUAAAAUAUCUCCAACAUCAUCAUUCUUUGUAGAUUUCUCUCUCUUCCAAUUGACCAUUUUGCCCUUUGUGAUCUUUUAAAAUUCCAUUCUUGAGUCAUCACUUAAUUUUGGUAAAAUUUCAAUUUAGUCCCUCAUAAUUCUUCACCUAUUCAAUUUGGUCCUAAUUCAUCAAUUUUCCUUGGUUUCUAAUCCUUCCACCCUUAAAAUAUUUGCACUAUUAGUCCUUUAACAUUUUCAUAUUUACCUUUAAUCCCUUAAAUUUUGAGUAUUUACUCUUGGGCCACAAAAAUUUUCUCACUUUUACAAUUUAGUCCUUUCUUGAAUGAAUAUGUCAUAAUAUACUUCCCAGUGACAUAACUCAAUUUUCCUUUUCUUGUUACUUUAUUUCCUUAUUUUACUCUAUGAAGAGUAAUAUCUUACUGUAGAAAUUUUCAGGGUGUUACAGGUCGGGCUACCCACCUAGGCUUGAAGGCUCGCCCAAAAUUUGGGAGGGUUUAGGCGAAAAUAUUAGGCCCAAUUAAAAUAAGGGCAAGGCUCAGACUUGAACAUUCAAGGCCCGAGCCCAACCCGUUUUUAGGUUUAUAAUAUUUUAUAUUAUGUUAUUUUUAUAUAUUAUGUAAUUUAGAACAUAUUAAAAAAAUAAACCUAUACUAAAUAUAUAAUACUACUCUAAUGUAAAUAUUAAAAUAAUAUUAAGAUAACUAUAUAAAAAACUAUAAAAUUAUUAAAAUAAAACAAAUAAAAUAAAUAUUUUUUUUAAAAAAGUAAAAAAUAACUUGACAACCUUCAAGUGUUGUUCGAUACGAUGAUGAAGCUCUUGAAAAUGCAAAUUGUGUCAGAUCAAAGAACUCAAUUUAUAGAUUGUUAAAAAUUUAUAAAAUAAUAAUAUUAAAAUUCAAAAAUCAUGAAAACAUUUCUGUAAAAAUUCAAAAUUGGAGAGAAUUUGAGUUGGAGAGUUUACCAUAUUCACUGCGUAUUUGUCAAUGUGCUCCACCAUUUUUCCCUUGAAAAUUAUAGAAGAGUAGGAAAAUUUAAGAAAGUUGGAGAGUUAUGGAAAAUUUUGAGUGAGGAUAAGAGAGAAAUGGAUGAAUUUUAUAGGGAAGAAGUUGAUAACCAUGGGAGUUGACUUCCAAUUUAUUUAAGUGGGUUAGUUACGAUUAACAUGCAAAUAAAAUGUUAAACUUAACACCUGUGAGUGUUGAGGUACUCCAUAUGUACUUUUGUAGUACUUUUCUCCUGACAUGAACAUCACUAAGCACAUGACAUUGACUGGAAUCGGAGUAAUCUUUCAAAAAAUUUUGUAUUAUAAAUCCUAAUAUAAAAGUGAAGAAAAAAUCUUAUGGUAGGUGUGAUUUGAGUGGAUUUAUUCGAUUUUUGAAAUUGUCAAUGAUAAUUAUUUUGAUUUUUUAUUUUCUAUUCUAACGUUGGUUUUGAAUUUUUGGAACAAAAUGAGUUUUAUUUUAUAUAUUUUGGGUUUCAAAAUAUAUUUUCAUAAAUAUUUUUUAAAAUUAACAUUUUCAAAUAAAUAAAAAAUUAAUCUCUUAUAAAUUAUUUUUAAUAUAAUAUUUUCACUAUUUAUAAUAUAUAAUAUUUAUUUUUACAUUAUAAAAACUAAAAUUAAUUAUAAAUUAAAUAAAAGCAAAAUUCAAUUAAGCUAAUUGUAAUUUGAGAAACUAUCCAAACAUCAUGUUUAUUUUUUAGGGUGGCAAAAAAUAUUGAGCUUGACAAGUCUCCAUCUACCCUGAUCUUGUAAGGGUACUAUUAUUUUCUUUUAAAAAAAACCCGUUGAGAAUGAGUUUAGAUAAAACCCACUUCAUAUGACAAGUCUUCAUAUAUUUACUAAAAUAUCUUUUUUUUUUUAAAUUUAAAUUUCUACUUAUUUUUUAUAUUUUAGUUCUGAUUUUAUAAGAAUUUAUAAUAUCUAUACUAUUAUUUAAGCUUGGAUUAAAUUAAUGUCCGUUGACUCGUGACACCAACUCGAUUAGAAAAAUUAUAAAAAUAUCUUUUUAUAACUAAAAUAAGUUAUGUUAUUAGAUAACAUUUUAGUCUUUUUAUUUAAAAUAAUAAUAAAAAAAUUUGUAAAAAAUUUGUACGUGGUUCGAUUUGAACCCGUGCUAGUUACAUUAAUAAAAAUUUAACUUUACCAUUAAAUCAAAAUUUUAUUUUAAUUUUAGUCCCAUCAAUUGAUUGAGUUGGUGUUACAAGUAGACCUGAUCAAGGGCUGGGCCACUCGGCCUGACCCGAAGGCCUGCCCAAAAAAUGAGAGGGUUCAGGCAAAAAUAUAGGCCAGAAAAAUGGGCUUGAACAAAAAGCGAGGCCCUUUUAGAAAAUGAGCCGAGCCUCGUGUAAAAUUUUUUUGGCCUGGGCCAGAGCCCGACUCAAAUUAUAUAAUAAAUAUUUUAUUUUAUUUUUAAUCAUUUUUAAUUUUUAACUUUACUUUUCUAAUUUCACUUUCACUUUUAAUUUGUGUAUUGUUUUAAAAAUUGUUUUAGUAUAAUUUUUAAUUUGUUUCUUAUUUUAAUAUUUAUUUUUAUGUUUUUAAAUGUAUUUGAUUUAUUAUAUUUUAAAUUUUUAUUUAAUAAAAUAAAUAAAAAAAUUAAUAUGGGCCAGGUCGAGUCGGGCUCUGACUUAACAAUUUUAUUUUGAGCUGAGCUUGAAUAAUUUUCAGGCCCAUAUUUUGGGCCGACCCGAGCCUGGGCCUAGAAUUUUACUUGAGCCCAACCCAAACAGAACCCAGUCCAACCCAUGAUCAGCUCUAAUUACAAGUCAAUUCUUGAUAUUAUGUUUUUACUUAUUUAUAUUUCAUUGUGCUCAAAAUUUAAUCAUUUUUUAUUUGUUAUUAUUAAUUAAUUUCAAACUAUACAUUUCAUUAUACUUCUAAACUAACAUCUAUGUUCUAAGUAUAUAAUUUCUAUGUCCAUACGCAUGAUAAAAAUUUUAAUAUUUCGAAUACUUUUAUAUAUUCCAUUAUAAUUUUUUAAUUUAAUAAUAUAUAUUAAAUUUUAUCACAUCUACAAUGUGAAGCGAAUGCGAGUAAAAAAUGUGUGCAACGAAAUAAAAUACAUAUUUAUUUAUAACAAAGCUUUAAUUAAAAUCACAGAGUUAAAAAAUAAAAGAUUAUAAUAUAAUAAAUAUUUUGAGUUCAAAUCUUGUUAUUUGAAAGUAUUUUUCUAGAUAUUAUAUAUAAAGACACAAACUUGGUAAAAAGCUAUUAUAAAAAAAAAUACAAUUGAAUGAUAAAUUUAAAAUUUUACUAGUGUAAUUGACAUAAAUUUUUUGCUUUUUUUAAACAAAAAAAUUCUCAAAUAAUACAACUUAUUUUCUAUUUUAAAUACAAAAGGGCAUUAAAAUAAUUUCCCCUAACCGAGUUAGUACCUGAUUGAUUCGUGACACCAACACAGUUAGAAGCUUAAAUAAUAGUAUAAAUUUAGUUUAAUUUUGUAAAAAUAAUAUUUAGUUUAAUUUUGAAAAAAUAAAAUAAAAUAAACAUUAGUUAAAAUUUCAAAGCUUAAUGGUUAUCACAGGCAAAGGUGUGAUAAGGUAAGAAUUGGCUACUCCAUGGAAUGAGUAUUCCUUCCAUCCAACCAAAACUGCUCUGCUUGAACAUAGCAUUUGAGUUUUGAACUCCACUCGCACUUCCUAAACUAUGCCCUUGCUUUACAUAUUCACUUCAAUGGUAAUAAUGCACUAGAAACAAGAAGGACAAGCAUGCAAGUAACUUGAGAUGAUCCAAAAGUAUAUAUUUAUGUUUUAGAAUAUCCAACAAUCAGAUUCCAAACUCUUUUUUUUUUAUGGGAUAAGAGCUCAAGUAUACAGAUGCAGAAGUCAAUAUAGAAGAUAAAGAGAGAAACUGUCACAGAUUUUUCUCAACCUGGAUUAUUUGCGAGCUUCAGUUUUCUUCUGUUCUCUCGCUGUAUGAACAAAUAGAAAUAUUAUCAGCUUUCAAAUGAAAUUGCAAUAUUCCUAUAAAGCAGGUCACUCUGAUUUUAGAUUCCAUAUCUAAUCUAUGUUGCUCCGACUCUUUGUUUUUCUUGUGUCAAAUAAUCAUGUACGACACAUUUAGACAUGGAUAUCGAUAAUUCGAUAUGACUCUCCAUGUCAGCCUUCAAAAAAAAUUUAGCAAAAAUGAACAUACCUGUGUCAGACACAUCUCCGUAUCCAACACUUACACCUAAGUUCAAGCAAUGAAGAAUCUUAUACCAAUUCUCUAAUAUAAGAAAUGUUGCAGUAAUAAUUAACUAACCAGAAAGGGAGCAUUAGAAGAUGCGUGCAUUAUAAUAUAAAGGAGAGAUAAUAGUGACGGGAACCAUACCAGCCUUCUCUUCCUCUCUCUUCUUAGCAGCUUCUGCCCUUUGUUGUCGUAUCAGGGCUAAGCGCUCUGCAAUAAAAUACAUGAAUGCAAACAUCAGAAAAUAGGGAAGAGAUGAGAAAAAGAAAUGGAGGAGUUGACGUCAAGGUGAUAACUUCAUAUUAUGCUGAUAUAAACGUCUCCACCAAAUCAGAAAAACCAACUCAUUCAUAUUUUAUACAUGAAAACCGGCAUAAUUCAUCUCUCUACCUCUUACUUCUAAACACUGAAAGACUGAUCUAGAUUGCUAUGUGGUAAAGAAAAAAAACAUAUGCAGUUUUGCACCUAACCUAUAAGAGACUUCCUCAGUUUUUGUUCAGUUCAACUUCCCAUCAUUGUUAACAAAGAUAUAAUUAAGUUGUAUUCAUUUUACUACCUGAGAAUAUAGCACUUACGGCAGGAGUAAACCAUUUUAAAAAGAACAUCCAAGUAAAAGAGUUUAUAUUUCUCACAAAUCUUUUCCCAUAGACUCCUGUCAUAUUUUAUGACCACAUAUACGAGUAGACAGCAAGAGAAAUCAAGUUACAUAUAUGUACUCUCCUUAGCAAUCAAGUAUUUCAUCAGUACCUCGAUGCUCCAUAUAAUAUUUAUAACAUGGACAAUGAUCUUCUAUUGAUGCUUUAGGUAAAACAUUUUAUCAUUUGUGUCACACCUAUAUUGAGGAUGGUUUUAUGCACAACAUAUGGCACUACUAUAAUAACUCAAAAGGAGAUGAGUUAUUGUUAUCAUUAUUUUCGUCUUCAGAGCCCUAUGAAUGAACAUAAAUUCAACCUUAGCUAUACAUUUUCAAAUUCAGUUAACCACAAAGAAGCAAACCAGUCCACUGAAAGGACAUAAAAAAGCCUUGUUUAAGUAUAAUGAUAUUUUCCAGGGCUAUUGCAAGCCCAUGGCAACUUCAUAAACAUUCAAUUAGGGUUACACUACAGUUUAAACCUGAUGCUAGAGACAAAACAAUUCGGGAAUCAUAUCCAUUAGUUACCUAAAUCUUUUCUUGCUUGUUCAGUUUUCCCUUGUUCCUGCAGCUUCAUAUAUCGUUCAUGUGCUUUUUGCUUUUCUAUUUCCUCUCUGCAGUCAUUAAUAGUACAACAAGAGCAUAAUCUAAGUUCGUCUCAAAGGAAAUAAGUAAUUUGAAUAUAAAAUUACAUCCUUUAACAAAAAGUCAUAAAAAGUAUAUGGGUAUCUUCGAAAUAUGAAGAUUCAAAAGCAAGAACACCAUAUCUUGAAGCAAAUAAUCAACAGCAGUUUCAAUAAAAAUGAUGAAAAGGCUUCUACUCAUGUUGAAAUAACAUGGAAAAAUAUUUAAUCAUAUCCUGUCCCUUUUCCAACUAUGAUCAUAAUCUACAAAUAUUCGGUUGCAGAUGAAGUGCUUAUGCAAUCAAAAGUUUGUGCCAGUUGGACAUGAUAAAGCAGUGAUCAGUCAGAUUCGAUUAAUAAAGAGAAUUACAAACCUUUCACGCCUUGAUAGUUCAGUUGUUCUCCCCAUCUGGAACAUAAAUUUUCAAGUUAUCAAUCGAGUUAUAAAUUCAUAAAUUUAUCUAUGAUUAAGUACGGUCUUCGUACAGCACAGGAGCAUUUGUUGAACUUACAUCAACAUCUUUAGCUUUGACAUUCUUUUGUUUGGCCAAAUUUGGAUUCUCAAUCUCAAUAAGCCCUUGAGUACCCUUUCGUUUCUGUCAUGUCAGCACCAAUAUCAAACAGUAUAAAAGGUAAAUAGGACAAUAAGCAAUUAUUGCAAAUGGAACCAAUGCCAUUUACAUUAGACCAAGAAAGGGCAAAAUGUAAUGACCUCGGGCUCUUCUUCUACUUCCUCUUCAGACUCUUCUUCUUCUUCUUCCUCUACUUCGGCUUCUUCCUAGAAUGAAGAUAAAAUACCAUCUCAUCUACCAAGUAAAAUUAAGUACAAAACACACACACACAUGCACAUCCAUAACGUGAAGAAAGAGAAGCAUAAGAACUAAGCUAAUAUAUUCAAGAAAAUAAACUAAAAUUUUCAAUUAAACACUCGACACAAUUGAUUACAAAGCAUGAAAAAGAAAAUAGCUAUUAUCAAACUUAUUGCCAAUAUUAAUGAAUUCUUAUUCAUUUGUCAUGUCCACAUUAUUAGAGUAUUAAGCAACUCAGCUUAGGUCGGUUAACAGAUUAGUUUAUGUUUGUUAAGUCAGUGAGGGUUUGUUUAGCUACAGUUAUUUAGUUAUCAACUCCUAUCAGUGUAUAUAAAAGCUGUGCUAAUCUCUGAUCAAAUAAUAAGAAAUCACAUUAUUGUUUUCCAGUAUGCUGCUUCUUUUUUCUUGCUUUCUUAGCUAGUUUCCUAGUUGCCAAACAGCUUUGACAGUUUGUAGCUAUAGCUUUACAUGGUAUCAGAGCUUCUGUUUUUCCUCACGGAUUUGAUUCUCUACUCGACUGUGGGUUCCAUGGCUCUUCCCACUAGCCCUUCAUCUGUCUCAGUCAUUGCACCUAUGAUACCUCCUGCUUCUUCCACAGAUGGAGUUUUUGAUAGUCAGCUCUUUUCCACCAAGAAGGUUAACAUUGAGAAUUCAAAUUACUUGUUGUGGCAACAAGUACUGCUUGCUCUCAAGAUUCACAAACUUCAGAAUUUUCUUAAUGUCUCCAUUCUUCCUCCUCAACAGUUCACUAAGGAUGUAGCUGGGGUGACUAAGGAGAAUCCUGAUUUUGAGAGGUUUGAGCAGCAGGGCAAUGCCCUUGCCUCUUGGGUCUUGUCUACUGUUAAUCAAGAGGUACUCUCGCAUCUAAUUAGUAUGGACUCUACUAUUCAGAUCCGGAGUACUCUUGCUAGUAUCUAUGGUAGUAAGAUCACUUCUAGGUUAAUGUUCUCUAGACGUGCUUUGCAUUCUCAACGAAAAGGUGAUCUCUUCUUGAAAAAGUUUUUGAUGAAGAUCAAGGCCUAUUGUGAAAGUCUGCUAGCUGUGGUGAGGUUAUUAGUGAGCAUGAGCAUGUUACAGCGAUUCUUAAUGGCCGUUCUUCAGAUUUUGAGUCUGUUAUUACAGUCGAGGUCCAUUUCUGGCUUCGGUCCAUUUCUAUGUCAAGGGCGUGGUUGAUCUUCAGGUUCUUGAAUUCAGUGUCAACUUUGUGGCAAAACAGGUCAUCUCGUUGACCACUGUUAUUAUCAUUUCGAUGCCUAAUAUAAAAGCACAAAAUACAGAGCAACCUGAGGCAAAUAUGUGUAAUUUUGGUGUUGGGCCUCAAGUGCAAUCUUGGAUGCCCUUGUUCAAGCCUCCAAUGCUUGUUUUUAAUUCGUCACCUGUUGCAAGUUCACAAGGUGUUUGGUCUUUUUCUCCAGGCCCUUCUCCUUCUUGGUCCAAUCCAUUUGGUGCAAGUUCUAAGUUGCUUGUGAGUUCUCCUGCUCUAAUUCCUAGUCCUCAAGCCUAUAUUGCUACACCUGAAAUUGUUGGGGACAAUGCUUGGUACCCUGAUUCUAGCGUAACACAUUAUCUCACACAUGCAACUGCCUCAAUAGGCGAUAGUGCAUCAAACAGUGGUCCGUAAGGUCUAUGUUGGUAAUGGCAGUGCUAUACCUGAUAUGCAUGUUGGGCAAUCAUCUUUGCUUACUUGUUCUAGACCACUACAUAUACGUUCUUUGUUGAUUGUUCUUGGCAUAACCAAGAAUCUGUUAUCCGUGUCCAAGUUCACAAAGGACAAUCAGGUGUUGUUUGAGUUUCUUCCCACUCACUGUCGGGUUCACAAUUUGAGAAGCAGAGACGUUCUUCUCCAUGGACCGGUUUCUUAAUAGACUUUACAAACUGCAUCUGAAUGGUUCUGUUAAGGCUCCUGCUUCUUCCAUUUCAGCUGAAUGUUGUGUAUUUGAGAAAGUUGAUCCUUUAGAUGUGUGGCACUCCAGGUUAUGCCAUCCUUGUUCUCUACACUUGUGAAUGCAUUGCAUCACUGUAAUGUUUCUUUUCAAUCCAAUAAAGAUAACUUUGUGUGUGUUGCAUGUCAUUUGGGAAAGGAACAUAAAUUGUCUUUUUCUCAGUCUAUGUCUGAGUACACUGCCCCUCUUCAGUUGGUAGCUGCUGAUGUGUGGGGACCAGCUCCAGUUCCUUCCAAUGGGUUCUCUUACCAUGUUGCUUUUACUGAUGCCUGCACUUGAUACACUAGGGUGUAUUUUUUGAAGAAGAAACUGGAAGUGCCAUCCAUGUUUGUUCAGUUUCAAAGACAAGCGGAAAGGCUUCUGGUUGUAAGCUUAACACUCUUCAAACAGAUGGGAGAGGAGCGUUUCAAGCUUUAAAGUCUUACUUGGCACUACAUGGUAUUUCUCAUCGACUUACCUGUCCCUAUACCUCUGAACAAAAUGGACUGGUUGAAUGAAAGCACAGGCAGAUUGUUGAUAAACAAAAUUGACUUACCUUUCCCUAUGCUUGCUCAUGCUUUCAUGCCUCUGACUUAUUGGAAUGAUGCAUUUAGCAAUGCAGUAUCUUUGAUAAACAGGUUGCCUUCUCUUCCCUUAGGAAAUGUGUCACCCUAUGAAAAGCUGUUUAGUGUCAAACCUAACUGUUCUUUCCUUGGAGUUUUCGGUUGUCUUUGCUUUCCUAACCUCAAACCUUAUAAUGCUAAUAAGUUACAGUGUAGAUCCACCCAAUGUAUUUUUCUUGGUUAUUCCUCACUACACAAAGGCUAUCGUUGUCGUGAUAGUACUAGAAAAGUCUACGAGUCUUGUCAUGUUACAUUUCCUUUCAAAACUGCUUCCAAGUCUGUACCACUCCCUUCCUCUAAACCCUCACAUACUUCCUCUACUUUGCUUGUUUUUCCACCGUUGUCUUCCUCUGUGACCACUUCUUCAUUUUCCAACAGCUCUCGUGCAUCUCUUGUCUCAGCUUCUUUACCUAAACCUUCUAGUUCCUCACCUACAGUUUCUGUGAUGACAUUAUUGUUUUCCAGUAUGCUGCUUCUACUUUCUUGCUUUCUCAGUUAGUUUCCUAGCUGCCAAACGGCUUUGACAGUUCGUAGCUAUAGUUUUACACAUCUAAGCCAAAUUCAAUUUUUUUUCACCAUUCCAAGCAUCUAAAUGUGAUAACUGAAAGGUAGACCUCCAAACAAAUAAAGUCCAAUCCAAACUAAUAUUCCCUUCAAAAUAAGUAAUAACAAAGAUGAUAAGAAAUAACCCAAACAGCCAAAACCCAAGAAAACUACAACAUUCAACCCAUCAUCUACCUUACAAGAAAAGGGACCGAACAUAACUUGGCAAAAGUUCAAACAAAGCAUCGAUUUUGGUUUUUCAAACUUCGUAGUGUUUUCUUCUUCACAAAAAUCACUCUCAAGAUAAGUAAUCACUUCUUUUCAGGCAAUAUAUAGCAACAAUACAUGAUAACAACAACAGAUUUCCAUAAAAGAAAGUUAACUAAUAACAAUCAAAAACUAAUUUCACCGUAUAUAUUUUAUUCUCCAAAUUUAUAAUCACAAAUGAAUUAAAAUUAGCAUAAAAAUCUUACCUUCUUAAAAGUACGGGGACGAGCAGAGGUACCAGCACCUGAAACCAUUAAAACAUUAGAACAAAACAAAAACAAAGUGAGAUUAAUGAUAAAAAGUUAUAAAACCACUUAAGAAAACCACAAAGAAUUAAAAUAUUUCUUUCUGGUCUCUCAAUUUGACUCAAAGCUCAAAUUUUUAGCCACACUGGUUAAAAGAAACAAAAGUAUUUAAACAUAUUAAGAAAGAAAAAAAUGGAAUCUAAUAAUUCAUCCACUUAAUGCAGAAUCAUUUCUAAGUUUCUUCAAAACUAAGACUUAAGUUUAAAAAUACAAAAUUUGAAAUUUAAAGUACAAAAAAGAAGAAGAAGAUAAAAUUCAAUACGAUAGAACUACCAAUCCAACAGUUGAAAGCUUGGUUAGAUCAGAUACCUUUUAAAACCGAAUGGAAAUACGCAUAAGUACAUCACAUGCAAACGAAUUAAAAAAAUACCCAAAAAGCUUCGAAUCUAACAAUUCAUCCUUGAAAUUUCAGAGUCAUAUCUAAGUUCAUUAAAACCCAAAACUUAAGUUUAAAAGUAGAAAAUUUUUAAGUAAAAAUUUCCCUAUUUUCUCUAUUUAGGAACUAAAAUUUCUCAAUCACAGACACACACAAAAAAGAAAAAUCAAUACGCUAGAGCUACUGAUCCAGAAGCUGAAAGCUAGGUUAGAUCGAAUACCAGAAAAGUGUAUUACAAUACGUAUGAAAUACGUACAUGCAAAGGAAUUAAUUAAAAAAGUAUAUAAAUACGUAGAAAAGGAAAGAGGCAGAGUACGUACGGAGCUCUUCAGGAGUGGAGAAGUGGCGGUGACCGGUGGGCUUGCCCUUGAAUUUUCCUCUUCCCAUUUUAAUUUUAAUUUUAAUAUAUAUUUUCUGAUUAAAAAUAGAAAUGAAGAAGCAGUAGAAGGUGAACGUGAGACCUGAGGCCUGUGACGGGAGAUUUGUUUCUUAAGUACAUAAUUUUAUGCCUGUUAAGAAUUAGAUUCUUACUCUAAAGUUUAAAAAGUUUUAAAAGGGUUUAUUGAUAUAAUAAACCCUUAAACUUUUUUUAAAAAAUCAAUUAAACCUUUUUCAAACUUUUUGUAUAAUUGAGCUUCAAUUAAUAAAAUUGACUAAUUAUUCUUUUGAAAAAUGUUAAUUGUUAGUAUUUAACAGUAAAUUGACACCUCAAUGUUAGGUCGAAAAAAAGUUAAAAAAUAUUUUAAAAUAAGUACAAAGAAUUUGGAUUAAGUGAUUGUUCAUAUUCAUUUGAAUCUAGAUAAACAUCUCUCUAGAUUCAUUUUAGAAUUAUAAAAACUGUAAAUUUUUAUUAAAAUUCCUAAAAAGUAUUAGAAAUCCUAAAAAGUAUUAGAAAUUAAUUAAAAACCAGGAAAUAUUAUAAAAUUUAUAAAUAAUAAUUCAUUAAAAAUUCAUAAAAUAAUUAGAAAAAAAUAAUUUAUAAAUAUUAUUAGAAAUUAAAUAAAACUAUAAAAAUUAUAAAAAUAAAUUAGUUUUAUAAAAUUUCAUAAAAAUUAUUCUUCUCAUUUUGAUUAAAUUAUUUAACUAAUAUAACUUAUGAAAAUUAAAAAUGAAAGGAAAAAGUAUAAAAAUAAUUAAGCUCUAUUUUAUAAUAUAAAUUGUUGAUAUUCAUUUUUUUGGUUUAAAAUAUAAAAAUAACAAAUUAUAUUUAAAAAUUUUAUAAAAUCUUAUGAUUAAUUAAUUUCUAAUAUUUUUUUAUAAAUUUCUAAUAUUUUUUAUAAUUUUAAUGAUUUUAAUCAUUUUUUAUUUGUUUUGUAAUUCUAAAAUGUAUUUGGACAAAUGGUUGUCCUUAAUCAAAUGAACCUAAAUAGCCAUUUGUCUAGAUUUAUUGUGUACUUAUUUUAAAAAUAAUUUUAUGAUAUUUAAAUUUUUUUUUGCUGACGUUGUGUCUAUUAACAACAAUGUUUAUGUUGUCAUUAAAUACUAAUGGUCAACAUUAACUAAAGGGCCUAUUUAGCCAGUUUUGUUAGUUCAAUGACUCAAUUGGGUGCAAAAAGUUUGAAGGGUGUAAUUGAUUGUUUUGAAAAUGUAACAUCCUAUACCUGACUCGAGCACACAUGACCCUCACAGCUUUGUUCUUGGGAGCGCCCAUACACCCCCAAAAGGCUUCUUACCACUUAAGUAUUGCUACCCCUUUAUAUAGUCCAGGUCUCUCUCAUGCUUUGUUGAUGUGGGAUUCGUUUAAGGUGUUACAAUCAUAUCUCUUAAGGAUUCAACAUCCUUGUUGAGGUUUGCCCCACCAUCGCUCAAGAGGCAUAGCGAGUGGUUCUGAUACCAAUAAAUGUAACACCUUAAACCCGGCCUAGAAGUUAUAUCUAGAUUUGGUAAUGUUAUUAUAAGUUCGUUUAAAAACCCAAAAUUCGUUGAUUUUGAAAAGACAUCAUUAGAUUUUGUCACGUGAAAAUCCAACUUGUUUGAAAACACAUCUUAGUUUUCUGUUUUUGUAAAAUGUUGUUUGUUUACACUUUCUAAAACGUAUAAGUUUAUAGUGAAAUUCUUAAUGCAUUAGGUUUUUAAAAAUAUCAUUUGUUGUUUUGAAAAUUCAUUGCUUCACAGGCAAACUGAGCGUCAUCAAUAAAAACGGUUUAAACAAUUUUAAAUGGAAAACAAUAAUAAAGUCCAAAACCAAAACAGUCCCAACUGUCUAAACAAUUCAAACUUUACAAAAAACCUUAAUUCCAAAUUUAAGUAAAUCAAAUAUACUAAAUUAUUAAAACCGAGCUCCCGUUACAUCGAUCCGCCUAAGUCUGAUGGUUACCUGAAAGUGUCAAACAACCAAAAAGUGAGUUUUUUGAAACUCAGUGUGUAACAUACAAAUUUUUAACAGCAUAAAUUAGCUAGACAAAAAAAUCAAAAAUAGAACAUAUCAGAGUAAUACAUAUGCAUAAAUAUAAUCCUACUUCCAUCAGCUACACACCAACUCCGAUCAUUCCAGCACACCAUAUGGGGUAUGAAACACCCAUCCAACCCUACACACCACUCAGUGUCGGUAUGACACUUUUCAGAAUAUUUGCAGCUUACCUUCCAAAUCAAUAGGCGAAUUAUCGCUGUAUAUAGAAAUAGUUGUGGCUGUGCCACCAGAUAUGGUAGAUAAUCAAACUGCUCACAUUUCCUCCAAUACAUAAAUCUCGUCCCAAAUGCAAAUACAAAACUAACAAGUAUCAAAUAUGUUUAUAAUUUACAUGCUUAUCGUGACAGAUACUGUAACGACCCUAUAGUCAAGGGUGACUGAAAGUAAAUUCUUGGAACUUCAUUCCCGUAAAUCAGACUCGUAAAUAUUUAUUAUAAAUAUUUACGAAGUUAGUUGUGAAGUUAAUUAGGUUUCGAUUAAGUAAAUUUGCAUGAAUUAAAAGUUAUUAUAGUAUAAGGACUAAAUCGCAUAUAGAGUAAAAGUUCAAUUAUAGAUUAAAAAUCAAUUGAGGGAUUAAAGUGGUAAUUAUACCUUUAUAUUGGGCAGUGGACGGCAUUAAUGGGGUAUUUAUAUAUAUAUAAUAGUUAAUAUAUAUAUGUUAUAUAUUAUGAAUUAUAAAAUGAAAUUAAUAUAUAUAAAGAUUAUAAUAAUAAUAAAAGUAAUAAUAAUAAAAGAAAGAAUAAAGAAAAAGAAUUAUAAAGACAUGCAAAAGUUUGAGAAAGAAAAGAAAGAAGAUAAGAAGGGUUAACGCAUAGCCUAGGGACUUUUAGGGUUCAAACUUCAAUUGGUUAGUCAAUUUAGUCUCUUUUCUUGUAAUUUUUAUAUUUUUGGAAUUUUGGUGUUUAGUACUAACCGGCCUAUGUUGAAAUUUUAGCAAUUAUUAAGAUUCUAAAUGUUGUUAAUGUUGAAUAGUUUUAGUAUUAGGGAUUAAAUUGAUAGAUUUUUAAGCUAGAAAUGAAAAAGGAUUAAAUUGUAAAACAAAUAGUAAAUUUUGAGCAAUAGGGACUAAAUUGUAAAAAAAUUCAAAAUUUAGGGGUUUAAUUGAAAGUAAGGAGUUAAAUUUAGUUUAAAGUGAAAUUUGUAUGAGAAUAUAGUAUUAAAUAUAAAGAAUAAAAAUUAGUCUCCAUUUAGGGAAUAAAUUGAAAUUUAAGCAAUUAUUGAGUAAAAAUUGAAAUACUCAAUGUGAAAUUAAAUUGUGUUGUAUUGAUGUAUUUUAAUUGUUUUAAUUCCAUAGCUAACGUCGUACUGAAAUCCUCGACUAAAAAGGGUAAGGAUAAAAUUGACAUCGAAUAGCUCGGAAUCCACGGUUUGUAUUUCUAUAAAUUCGAACCUAGUUGUCAAUUAUUAGAAUUCGAUUUAAUGCAUUUGGUAAGUGUGUGAGGUGAGUAUUUGGCAUUUUGAUAGUUGAUUGAAAUGGAUUGAAUUGGUACAUACAUUAUGAAUGUAUUGAUUAUUUGAAUUGAAAUGAAUAUAUAUACAAAUAUGAGAAUUGGAUAUUGGUUGAAUUUGAAAUGUGAAAUUAAACUCUAUUAACUGUAUCGGGCUGAGUUGGAUAUAGAUGGCAUGCCAUAGGAUAAGAAGAGUUUAGAGAUUUCUUCGACUUUGAGUCGAUGAGGUACUAGGUUCCAAUUUACUUCGAUUUAACCAAUGAGACACUAGGUGUCAAUUUAUAUAGCGCUGGGCGCAGUUAUUACUUCAGAUUCAUUCGAUAAGGCACUGGGUGCCAAACUCGUGUGUUGGUUGGAUCCGUGUAUCCGUCUGAGUCCGAAUCAUGUUAAUAGGGGUAAAUAAAUAAUAAAGUUCUAUAAUUGAUAUUGAAAUGGCAUGGUAUGAGAAAUGGAAGUGAUAUAGUGAAUUGAAAAUAGAAUGUGAAAUAUGUUGUAAAUACAUGGAAUAUAUGAGUUAUAUACUCAUGAACUGAAUAUGGAAUGGAUAAUGUUAUUGUUUAAUUGAAAUGUGGAUUGAUAUGUGAAAAGCUAUUUAUAUAGCUAGAAAUGUGUAUUGAGAUAUUUGUUAAACAAAACAAAUAUGAUAGCAUGUGAAAUUGAAAUAAUGGUAUAUGACAAAUACAAGCUUAGACAACAUUAUGUUCAUAUAAUUCAAAUUAUGCAUUUUUGUAUCAUUAUAUUCUUAAUUGUUCAGAUUAUAGAAAUAUCACUGAGUUUUACUCAAUGUACGGUUUUGUUUUCCUUGCACAGGUUAGGUACUUCACUUUUGAUAGUCGAUUUAGAUCCAGCAACAAUCCCGACUCAAAUGUGGUUAUGUUUAUCUUUUAUGUUGGCAUGUACCUAGGAUGUCUAGUUGAUAGUUAUUUAUGGAUGAAAUGUAAAUGAAGCAUAAGUGUUAUGUUGGUUUGGUAUAUAUAUAUGUAACCAUGUGUUUUUGUUUGAAGCCAUAAUAUGGUAUGUUGAAUUGAACCAAUGCUUUUACUCAAUGGUUUGGCAUAUUUGUAAUUUUGAUUUGAAUGAUACAUUGAUGAUAUGUUUUGAUGAUAUAAAUGUGGUACCAAUGAGGGUAUAUUACUUAGGCACUAGGAUGAUUAUUUUGGGCAUGUUCUGAAUGUGUUUGAUCGUGGUUUGAAUAGGUUAAACGAAUGGUUUUUGAGUUGCUUAAUGCCCAAGCAAGUAGAAAAUGGUAAACUUGUAGUUUAAGGCACAUUUUAGGUCCACAUGGCCAGACACAGGCAUGUGACUUGGCCGUGUGAGACACACAGCUAGCACACGGGCGUGCGAGGCCAUUUCAAAGGGUACACGGCUUGGCACACGGGCAUAUGGCUUGGCUGUGUGACCCAAUUCAGUGAGUUACACGGGCACAAUCAUGGGCUGGGACACGGCCAGGCACACGGGCGUGUGACUUGGUCAUGUGAGUCACAUGGCCUGGCCACACGGCCGUGUGACCCCUAUUGUGAAAAUUUUUGUAAUUAAUUUCCUAAACUUUUAGAAUUGUUUCAAAUUAGUCCCUACCUAUUUUUAAACUAUUUUUAAGGUCCCGUAGACUCGUAAUAAGGGUUGUGAGAGUAGCUUUUACUCUGAAUUGGAAUGGAUUAGCAAACCUAUAUUAGGUGUAUUCUACUAAAAUUAUCGAAGAUAAAUUAAAAAGAUAAUCGUAGACGGGGUACGGACUAAUACUUUGAUGCUAAUGAUUGGAAUAGUCUUGUAUGUAUCCGAAUUCGGACAUUCUAGAAGGGAUAAAUAGUGAUAAGAGUGUAGAUAGUGGAAGACCAAGUUUAGAAAUGCAUAGCAUAAUUUAUUAUUCGAAUGUAUAAUAAUCUAGCAUGAAAGUAUUAGAUUGUCGUAAUCUGCCCCUGCAUAUUACAAUGUUAUUAGUUAAUUUAUAUGUUGAUUAUGAUUGAAUUAAUUGUUUGAUUUGUUAGUAAUACUCGUGACCUUAAACCAUCGUCGGAGAGGGGUUAGGAGUGUUACAGAUAUAGAAAAUACAUAAUGUUUUCUUCAGAUCGUACAAAGUAUAUUAUAGAUUUAUUCAUAUCAUUUUAGUUCAGAUAUGUGAAUAAAUAUUUAAGUUGACACUAGCAAAUGGCCUAAUUCAUGCUUUAUGGCUUAAUUAAUAAAAUACAGACCCUAUAGAAGGCUUACAUUUGAUCGAAAUGUUGUUUAUGACCUCAAGGAAAAUUUUAGAAUUUUGGUCCCAAACGUCCUUGUGGCGCACAUGGUCCAUUGGCCUAGACCGUGUAGCUCAACAGUUUGCACAUAGCUUGUCACACGAUCGUGUGAUGUCGGAAGAGUAGUUUUUCGGCUUUCGCUGCUCGUUGUUUUUCAUGUUUUCCGUUACACACCUAAUUCAAUUUUUGCUGCAAAUCCAAAGACGAACUCCUAGUACCUAUAACCACUAUUCAAAUGAAAUAAUUUAUAGAUUUCCUUCAAAUCCAAAUGCUAAACUUAAUCCAACAUCGGUGCUUAAACUUCAACAUUGAAAAUUCAACUACAAUAGCAACAAAUUCAGCCAUUUACCCUCGAAAGCAACAAAUUCACUCAACUAAAUCAUUAGAGGUGCACCUACUGUGUCAGUAUUCUCCCCUAAUCGAUCAUUAACAAUGAAUAAACACUGUCAAAUAAUCUCUUCACUUAAAAAGAAACCCCUAAUUACUCAUCAAAAACAAAAAUAACCAUUUACCCUAGCUUGAAUACUUACCGAAAUAGAACAAUAAGGAUAGAAUUGAAAGUCAACGAUUUAUGAACAGAGCAGAAUUGACGAAAUAGCAGCAAGAAAACCAAAAUCAAACUUGAAUUCACUUGGCAAAGAAAAAUAGCAAAAACAGCGGUAGAUAAAGGAAACAAGAAAAAGUAAAAAGAAGAAAUGUGGGGAGAUGAAGCAAAUUUUAUUUUUAACUUAUCCUAAUCUGUUACCCUUAGAAAUUGUAGGACAGGCCAUAUGUGAACUAUUGAGCCACACGAUCUGGGCCAAUUGGGCCGUGUGGGCCACAAGGGCGUGUGUGAGACUAUGUGCCAGACCGUGUGGGCCACAUAGGCUGGCCAUUUAGGCCGUGUGGGCGUAAAAUUCUAAAUUUUUUCUAGGGUCGUAAACAACGUUUGGAUUGAAUGUAAGCCUUUUGUAGGGUCGAUUUGUUAUUAAUUAAGUCAUAAAGCAUGAAUUCUAGUCAUUUGCUAGUGCCAAAUUAGGUAUUUGUUCACAUGUCUAAAAUGAAAUGAUAUGAAUGAAUCUAUAAUAUGCUUUGUGAAGAAAAAUGUUAUGUAUUUUCUAUAUUUGUCACGAUAAGCAUGUACAUCAUAAACAUAUUUGAUAGAUAUUAGUUCUUUAUUUGCAUUUGGGACGAGAUUUAUGUAUUGGAGGAAGUGUGGGCAGUUUGAUUAUCUACCAUAUCUUGUGGCACAACCACAACUAUUUUUGUAUACGGCGAUAGUUCGCCUAUUGAUUUGGCAGCUAAGCUGCAAAUAUUCUAAAAAAAUGUCAUACCAACACUAAGUACUGUGUAAGGUUGGAUGGGUGUUUCAUACCCCAUAUCAUGUGUUAGGAUGGUUGGAGUUGUGUGUAGCAAAUGGGGUAGGAUUAUAUUUCUGCAUCUGUACUGCUUUGAUAUGUACUGUUUUUGAUAUUUCUAUCUGGCUAAUUUCUAUUGUUAAAAAAAAUUGUAUGUUACACACUAAGUUUCAAAAAACUUUCCUUCUGAUUGUUUGACUCUUUCAGGUAACCCUCAGAUUUAGGCGGAUUGGUGUAACGGGAGCUUGGUUUUAAUAAUUUGGUAUAUUUGAUUUAAUUAAAUUUGGAAUUAAGGUGUUCUGUAAAUUUUGGAUUGUUUGGACACUUGGAACUGUUUUAUUUUUGGACUUUAUUAUUGUUUUUCCAUUUAAAAUUGUUUAAACCGUUUUUAUUGAUGACGCUCGGUUUCCCUACAAAGUAAUGGAUUUUCAAAACAACAAUGGUGUUUUUCAAAAUCUAAUGCAUUAAGAAUUCCACUGUAAACUUAUAUGUUUUAGAAAGUGUAAACAAACAAUGUUUCACAAAAACAAAAAACUAAGAUGUGUUUUCAAACAAGUCAGAUUUUCACGUAACUUAAGCUAACAACACAUUUUUCAAAAUCAAUAAAUUUUGUGUUUUUAAACGAACUUGCAGUAAAAUCACCAGAUUUGACCAUAACGUCUAGUCCGAGUUUGGGGUGUUACAUUUCAUGGUAUCAUAGUCAAGUUUUAUAACAUGUUUUACAACUAUAUAUAUUUUUUAAAAGAUAAAAUAAAAUCAAUUUUUAACCAACUAAUCAAAUUUUUUCCUAUAGUUUAAACUCAUCUACAAGCUUUCUAGAGAAAAACUAACAUAUUCCUUACGUACACAGAGACUAAAAAACGAGACCUUAAGUAAAAAUAUCAAGCAUUUAACCACCCAACCAAUACACAUCACAUGAAAACAACCAACUACUCAAAAUCUAAAUUCUUGGGGUGUUACAAUAAUUCAAUUUAACAAUUAAUACAUGCUAUGAAGUUCAUAGUCUGUUCAUAACAUGUUUUACAAUCAUAAUAGGGUUUAAUAUGAGCUUAUGAAAGUUCUUUUGAUACCCGAGAUUGAAUAAGGACUAAAAUGUAAAUUUUGAAAAUUAAUGGGCUAAUACCGCAACUUCAAAGGUUCCAGGUCGUGACACGGCUUAUUGACUAUCCCUCGUCACGAUGUUAAGAACUCAAUGUUGUGAAGUGGCUAACUGUGUAACGAUUCAAAAAGUUAGUGAUGUCGAAAAAUAUAAUUUCAAAACCCAAUUUUCAUAAACUGAAGUCGUAAAUAUUAGAGAGUUAUAAUAUAAGUGAAUUGAAUUUUGGAUAAGUAAUUUAGUCAAAAUUGUGUUUAAUUAGGGUGUACGGACUAAAUUGUAAAAUACAAUCAUUAUGAAUUUUUAAGUAGAAAUGAAUUAAUAACCUAAAUUUUAAUUAACCUAAGGUUUAAAAUAGCAAUUUGACCUUGCUAUUAUAUAGCUAGUGGAGGAUAAUUAAUUGAUUUUAAAUAAAAUUUAUUUACUAAAUUAAAGUUAAAUAAAUAAUAUUAUAUACAUAUAAAGAGAUAGUGGAAGAAGAAGAAUAAUUUCAUCAUCUUCUUCUUCCAAGACUUGAAACAAAAAAGAAGGAAAAACUUAAGAAACGAUUGAAGGUUCAACCUUAACUGGUAUGUUCAAAUUAGCCAUUUUUCUUGUAAUUUUUAUAUUUUUAAGAUAAUGAAAGCUUGAUUUAGUUAGCCCAUGUAUCAAUUUGUAAAAAAGUUAAAGUUUUAAAAAAUUUUCAUUGUUGAUUUCUUGGAGUUUUAGAUGUUAAAUUGAUAUAUUUUAAGCAUAGAUGUGAAAAAAGGUCUAAAUCAUAAAGCUUAAUUGAUGGUUUAGUACAUUAAGGACUAAAGUGAAUAAAAUGUGAAAUUUACUAUAGAAAUAAGAAAUAUGAGGUCCCUAAUAAAAAAUAGUGAAAUCGAAUUUCAAUUCAGAGUUUUAAAUUGAGAAUUAUGUUAGUCCCGAUUUUAGGGGCUAAAUUGAAUAAAUUUAAAAACUUGUAUAAUUUCAUAAUUAAUUGGGAAUUGGUUGAUUAUUAAUAGUACUAUAUGUUUUAUGUUAAUCUGUAGCUAACAUUAACCAGGAUUCGUCGAGAAGGAAAGGAAAAUCCAAAGUCGUCAACAAGUAGCUUGAAAUUUUGGUUUGUAUUUCUAUUAUUUGGAACUCAUUUAAUUACUACAUAUUCAUGUUAUUUUACAUUACAUAUUGUUGAGGUCAGUCAUUAUUGAAUUGAAUUAUUAAGGAUUAGAUUGAAUAUCAAGACAAGGACUAAAUAGAAUAGAAUAGAAAAUGGUAUGGAUUGAUUGAUAUGUGAUAAUUGGUUUGAAAUUGAGUUGUUAUAUGAUGUUUAUACAAUGUUUAUAAUGAAUUGGAUUUUGAUUGUGAAUGUGGUUGAGAGUGUAUGUUGAAUUGGGUUGUGUAAUGGUAUUAAAAUUUGAAACUGCGUACUGGUUGAAUAUAGGAAAAACGAGUACAAUAUGGAAUGUUGAAUGGUAUGAAAUGUAUUGAUACUGAGGUUGAAAUGUGAUAAAUGGUUACAAUGUAUAGUGAUUCGGUGUUACCUUAAUAACGAUAUUGAGUAUCGUUGAAUUAGUUGGCAUGCUUUAGGUUAAAAAAAUCAUUGCUGGGCCAUUCGAUAUGGUAAUAUAUUGUAUAGUGCAAACCAUCAUUGUCUGACCACUCAGGAUGAUAUAAUGAAUAUAGGUAGUGAAAGGCAUUGUUGCUAGACAACCUGGGGAGAUGGAUCUGUGUAUCCAUACCGAGUCCGUGUUAUGUUAAUAGGGGAUAUAAACUAUGAAUUGGAUGAAUGUUGAUUAAAAACAUGUAAAUGUUAUUAAAUAUUACUACACGUGUAUAAAUAAGAUAUUCGUUUGUUGAUAGCAUGCGAAAGAUCAUGUGAACUGAUUAAACAGGUUGAGGGUUGAUAUGAAAGAUAAUGAAUGGUUUGAUUCGAAUUGGUAAUGUAAUGUGAUGUGAUGAAAUGUGGCAAAACUGAAUAAAUAUGUAAUGUCAUUAGUAUUGAGAUGUUGAUAUGUUAUGUUCAUUAGCUUAUUUGGUUGAAGUAAUACACAUGUAAUUCAUAUAAUGCAUAAUUGAGUAAAUGUUAAUACUUUUAUGUGAUAAUUGAUAUAAAUUGAAUUGCCUAUGAAUUGAAUGUUCCAUGACAAGUUAGUAUGUAUGUAUAUUGAAUUAAGGAACUUGCAUGAAUAUAAGCAUGUUAUAUUGUAUUGGAACGUGUUUGGCAUGAAAUUAGUUUGUGACUUGUUUUAAGUUAAAUUGAAGUAGAUACAUAUAUGAUUUAUAUUGUUUAAUUUUUUUGAAUCAUAGAUUUACCACUGAAUAUUUUGCUUAGCAUACAAUUUUUGUUUUCUUCAUGUGUCGGUAGAGUAGAUCUUCAAUAGUUCGAGUGGCCAUCUCAGCAUCCGACGAUCGAUUCCCGACUUAACAAAGUUUGUCUUAGCUUUAUUUUGUGUUAAGAAGGGCAUGUACCUAGGUUGAGUCAUUUUGGUACAAACUAUGUUUAUAUGCUUUUAUAUGUUAUAAUGUUGAUUUAUUUAUUUGGUCAAAUGAAAGUAUCUUGUAAAUAGACUUGAAUGUGUUUUGAUUUGGAAUGAAAUGUUAUAAAAGUGGAUGAAUUUAGCGAACUAGAAGAGAAUGAGAAUUAGAAUUGGAAUGAGAAUGAGAAUGGUUAGAAUUAAUUGUUUUAAAUGGUGUAGGCUUAAUAGUACAUAAGGUUUUAAAUGGUAUGAAAUGAUGCUAAAGAGUUAGAAUUAUUGGUUGGCUGAUGUUGGUGUGCACUUGGAAAUUUGUUGUUAAAAUUACAAUUUGUGAUUUAUGGUAAUAUUUUAGAGUUUGUAUGUGACGUAGUGAUGUUGAACGCACGUCGUCACAAUGAGCUUUGAAAUUUUAAGUUAUUGCGACGAGGAACCUUGACAUUGUAACACGGACGUGUGGGCCACACAGGCUAGGCUAGUGAAGCCACGUGGGCCCAAUUUCUGUAAAUUUUGCUUAAGGUUGUAAAUGAAAUACGAUUCGAGGUUAGCCAUUUUGUAGGGUAUGUAAUGUGAUACGUAUGACUGUUAAAUGUGAAAUAUGGUAUUUUGUCUCCGUAUAUGCUACUUUCAAAAGCCUGGUAGUAUGAUAUGAUAUGUAAGCAUGUUGAGUUUUGUGAUGGCAUGUUUCUGUUCUACCAUGUUUGUAUAUGAACAUGUGAAAUCUGAUUAUGUUGUUCUGUUUAAUUCUAAGACUACUAUGUGAUUAUACUUGUGACAUUGUAACAAAACUGAUUUGCUUUUGUCAAUAUUUGAUACAUCUUUUCUUCAAAGUGUGGAAUCCCAUGCCUUCUAUUUCCUAUGUAAUACAUAUUUGCAUGUCUUACAUACUUUUCAUUUAGAUUCUGUAUUUGCAUGCCAUAUUGCAUUGCGUGGGGUUGGGAUAUUUUUUGAAGGAGGAAGUGUUGGUAGUUUAAAUACAUAUUAAUAAUCCAUCAUUGUAACGUCCCCCUACCCGAGACCGUCGCCGGAGUCGAGCAGGAGACAUUACAAAACAUAUCUUAGCACUUAAACAAUUUUCGUAGUAAACUAUCCAUCUGCGUCACGGUCGCUAAAAAAAUCAUAUCUCGAGUUAUGAAACUCGAAAUAUAAUUCCGUAAAUUUUCCCUGAAAAUAGACUCAUAUAUCUACUAACUAAUUUUUUUCUAGAAUUUUUGGUCAGGCCAAUUAGUACAGUUUAUUAGAAAAAGUCUCCCCUAUUUCUGGGUUCAGCUACUCUGACCCUUGUGCACUACGAAUCAAAUUUCUUCCUGUACAGAAAUCCAAUGACUAUUCCAUUUGUUUCAAUUAAAAAUAGACUCAAUAAGGAAUCCAUACAAAUAAAGUUUGAGUCCUAAUUCUUAAUACACAAUUUAUGGUGAAUUUCUAAAUUCAGAACAGGGAAUCCAGAAAUUGUUCUAACCCUGUUUCACCAAAACGUAAAUAUCUCAUAAAAUACAACUCUUUUGCCUAUUUUAUUUCUUCCAUAUAAAAAUAGAUUCAUUAAGAUUCAAUUAAAAAUUUUAUUCAUUAUCUAAUUCACUUUAUACUAUUUUUGGUAUAUUUUCAAAGUUGGAAUACCGCUACUAUCCAAAUCUGUUUUAGUAUAAAAUGUUGAUAACUAAGUUUAUUCAUUUCUUCUCUCUACAAUAUUUACCAACACUUCCUCUUAUUACUCUUCACUAACAUAUCAAAACAUACCAUACUUAAGGUUUUGGUAACAUUUACAAAACAUACCAAAAUAUCACUUAACAACUUAAAUACUUUCAAAAUGACCAAAAGACAUCCUAGGUACAAUGCCAUUUUCCAAAAAGAUAAAAACUUCACCAAUUUGAGUUUGGGGAUCGGCUUGUAUGCUGAGUUCUUAUACUUUCGUACCUAGCCUGCGCACGGAAACAAACUGUACGCUGAGAAUACUCUCAGUGGUAUUUCUAUAAACAAUAGCUUAAUUAACUUUAAAACAUGGUAGUUCAAACACAUUAUUGCUAUUAUUCAAUAUCAAUCAGUACUUUAAUAACCUUUACUUUAUUUACCCUUAUUAACAUAACUCAGACACUGACGGAUACACGGAUCCAACCUACACUCCGGGAUAAGCACAUAGUGCUUCAUCGAAAUAAAUCUGGAACUUUAACAUUAUAGUACACAAAGUACUUCAUCGGAACAAAUCCGAAACUUUAACAGUAGUCGACACAUAGUGUCUCAUCGACUCAAUGUCGAAAUAUCCCAAUACUUUCAAUUCCUAUGCCAUGUCAACUUUAUCCGACUAGCCCGACACUGUUAAUAGGGUAUUCAAAAUCACAUUCAUUUCAAUAUGAUAAAAAUACUUACCUCAUUCACAUUUCCAUACAAUAUAAAUAUCAAAUAUAACAAUAACGAUUAAGCUCGGUUUAUAGAAAUACAAACCACUAUUUAUCGAAUUUAAUCGAUAUCUUCGUUCACUUUCUCUUUUCCCUUCUUUGAUGACAUAUCCGGUGCUACUUUUGCUACUAACAAUCAUACAAUUAAAAAUCAUCAAUAUAUUAAUUCAUAAAACACAUUUUCACUUUCUACCAAACUUUUACAAAAAUUCCAAUUUCGUCCUUUUUCCAUUACUAAUAUUUUUUUCUUUAACUUAAGCUUCAUAUUCUCUUUUAAUCAACUCAUUAACAAUUUCUAACUCAUAAAAUUCAUUAUAAAACAUAAAUUUUGAUCUCUAUUCAACUUAGUCCCUAUUUAAACCUAACUUAGAAAUUCCUUUAACUAAUCACUUCUAACUUCAAUUUCUAUCAAUUGUUACCAUAAAACCUCAAUUUAUUCAACUAAAUCAAUAUCUAAAAGUUCUCUAUUUUUCUUCAUUUUAACCUCAUACAUGUAGAAUUUUGAAUUAGGCAUCCAUAAAUAUAAAAAUCAUAAGAAAAUGAGCUAAAACAACUUACCAAUCAAGCUUUAAGUCCUUAAACCUCAAAUUUCCCUUUUCUAUUUCUUUCUUUCUUUCCUUCUUUCUUUCUCACGUUUGCUCUCUGUAACUUUUCUAUCUUUCUUUCUUUUUUUUUAACUUACUCAUAAAUCUAUAUUCAAUAUAAUAAUUUUAAUAAUAUAAUUUUAUUCUAAUAAAAUAACUUAAUCUAUAAGAAAAACUACUUUAACACCUUUAAUAUCUUUACCAACUAUUACACAUGUUAUUCAAUAUUAACACACACAUGUCACUUAGGGUCUAAUUGCUAGAUUAGUCCCUUUAUUAAUCUUUAAUCUAUAAUUAAACUUUUAUUCCUUAUGCAAUUUAGCCCUUUAAACUAAAUUCAAGCUACUUCACUUAAUCAAACAUGAAUCAACCACUCAACUAUAAUUCAUAAAUAUUUCUAAUAAAUAUUCAUGAAUUAAUUUCACGGAAACAGUACUCAAGACUCAAUUUCCGAUACCGUAACUUUCAGUUCAUUACAAUCAUUGCCGGACAACUUAGAGUGGUGGGUCAUCGUUGUCGAACAACCUGGGACAACUUAAUUGGUAGUUUAACCAUAUAUCUGUUCUGACAGCUUGACUGCAAUACUGGUGGAUUGACCACACUUAUUUGAUUCUGGUGGAUUACUACACUAUUUUAGGCAGCUUGACUGCAUUAUUCUAAAAAGUGACAUACGAUCACUUAAAGGUGUGUGGGGUUGGAUAGGUAUUUAUAUACCCUAAUUAGUGUGUAGGGAUGGACAGAGUUGGUGUGUAGCGAAUGAUGGUAGGAUCUGAAUCUGAAUCUACAUCUGCAUAAGUAACUGAUCUUGUUACUGAGUUUCCAUCUAUAACUAAAUUAGUAUCUGUAUCUGCAUCUGUAACAGAAUUUGUAUAAGUAUUUGCAUCUGCAACUGAAUUUGUAAUUGAUUUGUCUGUUAUUGUCACACCCAUAACUCAUUUUCAUUGCCGAAACAGGAUUACAGAGUAUUAUUGUAAAAAUGAAACAUUUCAUAACAAAUAGCUUUCAAUUAUCAAACUGAUUUAAUAAAUUCAUAUAUAAUUCAAAAUGGAACAAGUCAUACAAUUACAGGCCUUAGAGCCUAUGAGGCCUUAGAAACGAUUUAGGAAUAAUCGGGGACCAAUUCGAAACAAAUUAGAAAAUUCAGAGAAAAAUUAAAAAUUUCAAAUAAGGGUCACACGAUCAUGUGAUAGGAUAUAGACCGCAUGGUGUAGAGGCAUGACCGUGUCGCUACCUGUGUGCCAAACCUUGUAGCUUUUGAAAUAACUCCACACGGCCAUGUCACUAGCCGCGUGCUAACCUGUGUAGCAUUGAAAGUACCCUCACAUGACCGUGUCGAAGACCAUGUGCUAGCCUGUGUUGCACUGAUGUUGGGUCACACAGUCGUGUUGGAACUGUGUGUCAGCUCGUGUGAAAAUUGCACCUAACAAGCUCAGGAGACACGCUCAUGUGGGCUUCCCGUGUAUAUCACAUCUUAUUCUUCAUUCUAUUUCCUAACAGCCUAAAUCAAUCCAUACCACAUCAUUUCAACACCUUAAAACACAUCAUAGAGAACCAAAAUAUACCAAAUAUACUCAUCCAAUCUUACUCAAAAUGUCUUUCAAAUUCACAUCACAUGGUACCUAUAGUCUGUAUCUCUUUAAACAAACAUACAAACCACAAUACACACAUUAACUUUGCUUACCUUGACCACAAACACAAUGCCAAGAUCCAAACUAGAAACUACCAUUUAUGAUCAAACAUUUAGGCACAACUUAAGAUGUUAGGGUAGCAUACCAUAAGGAAUUCUAAAAUUUAUAACAUCAUGAAUGUAGACACUCAAUUUUGCUCGGCCCAUUUCAGUAUUUAAAAUAAUAAACCCCAAAAAAUAAAAAAAAACAAAGUCCAAGUCCAGUACAAAAUUACAAACAUAUAAUUUGGCCCAAUCGGAAUGGCCCAUUACUUGAAAAGAUUUAAGGUCCAUCUAUAAGCUUGACUCAUAUGGAAAUAUAAUCUUUAAGGAUAUGCAAUCUCAGAUAUGAUAUACAAUCUUAGAUAUGAUAUGCAAUCUUAGAUAUGAUAUGCAAUCUUGAAGAUAUGAUCUUGUAAUCUUGGAGAUUUAAUUUGUAGAUAUCCUUUAAUCUUAACCGUUGAUGUAAUUGAUCUAUAUCGUUAGAUUUGGGGAGGCUCAACUAUAAAUAGAGGCCUCUCCCUUCAUUGUAAAUCAAUUGAGUUUUGGGAAGCAAUAAGAAUUCUUGAGAGCAUUCACUCAAAUUCUCUCCCUCUUGCGUUCUUACUCUCUGUGGUUUGUUCUUAUUUUAUUCUUCGUCUAUCUUAGUUUUUCAACCUUUUUUUUAUUUUAAUUUCUUCAAUUUUCAAAUAUGCAUAUUUAUUCCUAUCUUUUAUACAUUUGAUUAUUUAUUUUAUAUAUUAUAAUAUUUGUAACGGCCUAAUUUUCAGUGGUGUCGGAAAUGGUGAUUUGAGAUCACUAAAUUCGACAAAUAAGAUUGAACAAGAUAGUAAUUUAAUAUUUAUGAGUCAAGUAAGAAUUUAGAAGAAUUUGUGAAAUGGUGAAAUUAGUGAAUUAAAAGAAUUUAUUAGGUCAAACGGGUCAAAAAUGAGGUAUCGAGACCUCCAAGUUGAAAAUCGAGCUAUAAAUAUUUUUAUAAAUAUUUAUGGAGUGUCCUUGAUUUAGUAUUAAGGUUUCGUUAGAAAAUUUUAACGUUUGGAUGGCUAAUUAAUUAAAAGGACUAAAUUGAAAAUAGCGCAAAAUUUGUUAAAUUGUGAGUAAAUAGCUUAAGUAUUUAAAAAGAUGGAUUUAAAGAGCAAUUAGACCCAAAGGUUAGUGGCUGGACGGUUUGGGUAUGAAAUAAGCAAGAAAACAAGGUGAACAAGGGGCAAAAUUGGAAAUAGCAUAAAAGUUAAUAGUUAAAUAAUGAUGUAAUUGAAAAAUCUAGACAUUUCUUCAUAUUUUCUCAGCCAAAACGCCAUAGAAGGUCUGGAGAAAGCUGUUUUUUCAUAUUUUUACAUCAUGUGAGUUUAAUUCUUACUUUUCUUGAUAAUUUUUAUGUUUUUAUGACUUUUACAAUUAGGUCCACUUGUAGAAUUCAUUAGUUUUUGAUUUUAUGGGUGAAAUUGGAAGUUACCCUGGAUGGAUAAGGGAAUUUUAUGAUGAAUUAUUAUGAAAUUUAAGUUCUAAUUUCAUAUUAAGGUGGUUUUAUUAAGUGAUUUUGAUAGGAAAUGAUAUUUAGGACCUAAUUGUGAAAAAGUUGUGAAUUGAAGGUUUCUGUUGAAAUUAAGAAUAUAAAAGGUUUUGAAACAGUUUAUGAUGAUAAAAUAAAGUGUUAAUUGAGAAAAAUUAGUUCAAUUGAUGGGUGAAUUGAGCAGGGACUAAAUUGUGAAAACUGUAAAUUUUGGGGUAAAAGUGCAAUUUCGAAAUUUGAACAGCAUAAAUUGUGAAGUGAAAUAGAAUUGAAAUGGAUGCUAAUGAAGGAAUGAUUUUAUAAUUAUAGAUCAAGAAAACGAACUGAAUCGUGGAAAGGAGAAAAUUCAGGAAUAGUCCCUGAAUUUCUACGACUUUUGCAAAUUAGUCCAGGUAAGUUCAUAUGGCAAAGUUCAAUGUUUUGAUAUGAAAAUCUUAUGAUUGUUAAAGUAUUUUAUUGUUGAUGAAUACUAUCAAUUUGCAUUAACUAAUAAAUAAUGUGUAACUAAAAGUACAAAUUAGUAGGAACAAUGGAUUUGAAUGCUUCUAUGCUGUGACCCUGAUGAAUUGACGAAAAAUAUGUGAUAAGUGCGCCCGUUUAAGACCAUAGCUGGGCUAUGGCAUCGGUACAAUGUGAUAAUGUGACUCCGUAUAAGACCAUAGCUGGGCUAUGGCAUCGGUAUAAUGUGAUAAUGUGAUUCCGUAUAAGACCAUGUCUGGGAUAUGGCUUCGGUAUGAUAUGUGAACCGUGUAAGACCAUGGCAAGGCUAUGGCUUCGGUGUGUGAUGCGUAACAAUGUGAAAGUCCAUAGUUUACUACGGCAAUGUGAUAAUGAAGCACUCAAUUCCCUUAUUGUUCCCUAAUUUGACAAUGAAGUAAAUGAGAAAUGGGCCUAAGGGAGUUAAAUUGUGAGUAGCCAUAUGGAAAUUAUUCCAAUGAGUUAUUAAUGAAAUUGUGAUUUGGAGGAUGAAAUAGUUAAACUAAUAGAUAUAUGAUUGUGUACGAUAUUUGAUAUGAUUUGUGUUUUUAUGCCUAUGAGCUUACUAAGCUU
rnacentral:lncRNA from 1 species